CUGAUAAUAUAUUAAAGGGCUGCAGUAUUUUGACUGUACAAAGGUAGCAUAAUCAAUAGUCUCUUAAUUGGUGACUUGUAUGAAAGAUUGGAUGAAAUAUAAACUGUCUCUAAUUUAUUUAAAGAAUUUAAUUUUUUGAUUAAAAAGUCAAAAUAUAUUUAAAAGACGAGAAGACCCUAUAGAGUUUUAUAUUUAAAUUAAUUAAGAUUAUUUUUUAGUAUAGUAAUUAAAAUUAAUUAAAAUAUUUUGUUGGGGUGAUAAAAAAAUAAAAUUAACUUUUUUUAAAUAUUUUCAAGAAUAAUUGAAUAAUUGAUCCAGAAGUUUUGAUUAAAAGAAAAAAUUACCUUAGGGAUAACAGCGUAAUUUUUUUUUUUAGUUCAAAUAAGAAAAAGAGUUUGCGACCUCGAUGUUGGAUUAAGAUAAAAUUUAUAUGCAAAAGUAUAAAAUUUUGAUCUGUUCGAUC
rnacentral:rRNA from 1 species